CGAAGGGCUAGCGUUGUUCGGAAUUACUGGGCGUAAAGCGCACGUAGGCGGGUUAUUAAGUCAGGGGUGAAAUCCCGGAGCUCAACUCCGGAACUGCCUUUGAUACUGGUAAUCUAGAGAUCGGAAGAGGUUAGUGGAAUUCCCAGUGUAGAGGUGAAAUUCGUAGAUAUUGGGAAGAACACCAGUGGCGAAGGCGGCUAACUGGUCCGAUACUGACGCUGAGGUGCGAAAGCGUGGGGAGCAAACAGGAUU
rnacentral:rRNA from 1 species